rnacentral:lncRNA from 1 species
UUUUCCCCAAGGGAGAUGAUGCCUGGAGCUGUGAAACAAAUCCUGAGCCACGGGAUGAGUGUAGACUUGAGACUCCAGAGUUUGGGAUCCUGGUCCAGAUCAUGCCACUGCUUACCAAGUAGGGUCCUGCCUACCAUAAUCCAGGAGGUGGUCUUCCAGACAUUAAAUAGGAUCAUGAAAUCAAUGGCGUGAGCCUUCACAAUACCAUAAAACUGAAGACAUGUAAAUCUGCUCAUGUAAAUCCUCCACUGCAUAGCCUUUUGUGUGGAGCAUUUAUCCGGACUGAUGGCAAAAACUGUGAGUACUUUUCAAUAACAACAACUGAGGUAUUUUGAUGGGGCAUUUACUGGCUUGCUAUGGAAUAUUAACUAAAGCUACCUCUAUAUUAAUGGAAAUAAUGUUUCCCAAA